CCUACGGGUGGCAGCAGUGAGGAAUAUUGGUCAAUGGGCGAGAGCCUGAACCAGCCAAGUCGCGUGAGGGAGUACUGCCCUAUGGGUUGUAAACCUCUUUUGUCGGGGAGCAAAAGCCGGACGUGUCCGGCUGUGAGAGUACCCGAAGAAAAAGCAUCGGCUAACUCCGUGCCAGCAGCCGCGGUAAUACGGAGGAUGCGAGCGGUAUCCGGAUUUAUUGGGUUUAAAGGGUGCGCAGGCGGAUUUUUAAGUCAGCGGUAAAAUCGUGGGGCUCAACCCCAUCCAGCCGUUGAAACUGGGGAUCUAGAGUGUGCGAGAGGUAUGCGGAAUGCGUGGUGUAGCGGUGAAAUGCAUAGAUAUCACGCAGAACCCCGAUUGCGAAGGCAGCAUACCGGUGCACAACUGACGCUCAGGCACGAAAGCGUGGGUAUCGAACAGGAUUAGAUACCCCGGUAGUC
rnacentral:rRNA from 1 species